rnacentral:rRNA from 1 species
AUACGUAGGGGGCGAGCGUUGUUCGGAAUCAUUGGGCGUAAAGGGCGCGCAGGCGGCGAGGCAAGUCCGGUGUGAAAGUGCUCGGCUCAACCGAGUGAUGCGCUGGAAACUGCCCUGCUUGAGUACAGGAGGGGACGUCGGAAUUCCAGGUGUAGGGGUGAAAUCUGUAGAUAUCUGGAAGAACACCGGUGGCGAAGGCGGACGUCUGGCCAUGUACGGACGCUGAGGCGCGAAGGUGCGGGGAGCGAACAGGUUUAGAUACCCUGGUAGUCCGCGCAGUAAACGAUGCGCACCAGGUGUCGGGCGGCAGCGCCCGGUACCGGAGCUAACGCGAUGAGUGCGCCGCCUGGGGAGUAUGCCCGCAAGGGUGAAACUCAAAUGAAUUGGCGGGG